rnacentral:rRNA from 1 species
AAUCUUCCACAAUGGAUGAAAGUCUGCUGGAGUAACGCCGCCUGAGCGAAGAAUGCUUACGGUUCGUAAAGCUCUUUUGCGAGGGAAGAACAAGUACGGGAGUAACUGCCUGUACCUUGACGGUACCGCGUCAGAUAGCCCCCGCUAGCGCCGUGCCAGCAGCCGCGGUAAUACGUAGGUGGCAAGCGUUGUCCGGAAUUAUGGGGCGUAAAGCGCGCGCAGGCGGUCCGUUAAGUCAGAUGUGAGAGCCAAGGGCUCAACCGGGGAGGGUCAUUGGAAACUGGAGGGCUUGAGUCCAGAAGAGGAAAGCGGAAUUCCACGUGUAGCGGUGAAAUGCGUAGAGAUGUGGAGGAACACCAGUGGCGAAGGCGGCUUUCUGGUCUGUAACUGACGCUGAGGCGCGAAAGCGUGGGGAGCAAACA